rnacentral:rRNA from 1 species
AUGUGGUCCGUGGAGGGCGCGGCUGAGGUCCUCGGCGUCAACUGCAUCAUCGGCCGCCUCGACACCCGCACGCACGAGCGCGGCCACACGCGGACCUUCGCGUGCUGGGUCUGGGUCUGGGACGUAGCCUUCAUCGCCACCAAGCACACCAUCUGGCGCGCAGCGCGCGGCGCGGGGCGCGUUGAGACCAUGCUCGGCACCUCCCCCCCGAGCCGCGAGGUGCCCCCUCCACCCCGCGUCAAGCAGCAUCAGCUUCUCAUCCACGUCGACCGCGUCGAGGACUGGUCCACCCCCUCGCCGCGCUCCUCGCACUCCGCCCAGAGCGGCCUUCCCUCCUCGGGGUCCGACGACGAGCGCUCUGGCCCAACGGUGUGGACCGGCACGUGGGCGAUGCACGUGGAGGACGGCCAAGGCUAG